GCCUGGGUGGCUUAUUUGAUUAAGCACCUGACUUUAGCUCAGGUCAUGAUCUCACGGUUCGUGGGUUUGAGCCCCACAUUGGGCU
rnacentral:tRNA from 1 species